rnacentral:rRNA from 1 species
GACGGGGCCCGCACAAGCGGUGGAGCAUGUGGUUUAAUUUCGAUGAUACGCGAGGAACCUUACCUGGGCUCAAAUGUAUGUUGACGUAUUCUGAAAGGGAUACUUCUUCGGACAAUAUACAAGGUGCUGCAUGGUUGUCGUCAGCUCGUGCCGUGAGGUGUCGGGUUAAGUCCCAUAACGAGCGCAACCCCUAUCAUUAGUUGCCAUCAGGUCAAGCUGGGGACUCUAAUGAAACUGCCUACGCAAGUAGUGAGGAAGGUGGGGAUGACGUCAAAUCAGCACGGCCCUUACGUCCAGGGCUACACACGUGCUACAAUGGCCGGUACAAAGGGCAGCUACCUGGUGACAGGAUGCUAAUCUCAAAAGCCGGUCUCAGUUCGGAUCGGAGUCUGCAACCCGACUCCGUGAAGUUGGAUUCGCUAGUAAUCGCGCAUCAGCCAUGGCGCGGUGAAUACGUUCCCGGGCCUU